GACGAACGCUGGCGGCGUGCUUAACACAUGCAAGUCGAACGGAAAGGCCCUGCUUUUGUGGGGUGCUCGAGUGGCGAACGGGUGAGUAACACGUGAGUAACCUGCCCUUGACUUUGGGAUAACUUCAGGAAACUGGGGCUAAUACCGGAUAGGAGCUCCUGCUGCAUGGUGGGGGUUGGAAAGUUUCGGCGGUUGGGGAUGGACUCGCGGCUUAUCAGCUUGUUGGUGGGGUAGUGGCUUACCAAGGCUUUGACGGGUAGCCGGCCUGAGAGGGUGACCGGCCACAUUGGGGCUGAGAUACGGCCCAGUCUCCUACGGGAGGCAGCAGGGGGGAAUAUUGCACAAUGGGCGGAAGCCUGAUGCAGCAACGCCGCGUGCGGGAUGACGGCCUUCGGGUUGUAAACCGCUUUCGCCUGUGACGAAGCGUGAGUGACGGUAAUGGGUAAAGAAGCACCGGCUAACUACGUG
rnacentral:rRNA from 1 species